GACGAACGCUGGCGGCAUGCCUAACACAUGCAAGUCGAACGAAACCUCCGGGCCUUGGGGCGCACGGGUGGGUACGGCGGGGGAACCUGCCCGUAGGUUCCGUAUAACUCCCCGAAGGGGGUCCUAAGACCGCAUAAGCUCUUCGGACAAAAGAUUUUUUGCCUCUGGAUGGGCCCGCGUUGGAUUAGCUGGUUGGGAGGGUACACGCCGACCAAGGCGGCGAUCCGUAGCUAGUCUGAGAGGAGGAUCAGCGACACUGGGACGGGGACCCGGCCCAGACGCGUACGGGAGGCAGCAGUGGUGAAUAUUGGACAAUGGGCGAGAGCCUGAACCAGCGAGGCCGCGUGAGUGAUGAAGGCGUUAGAGUUGUAAAGCUCUUUUACCCGGGAGGAUAAGGACGUAACCGGUAGAAUAAACUCCGGCUAACUCCGU
rnacentral:rRNA from 1 species